AGAAUCAACGCUGGCGGCGUGCCUAACACAUGCAAGUCGCACGAGAAAGGGUAGCAAUACCUGAGUACAGUGGCGCACGGGUGAGUAACACGUGAAUAAUCUACCUCCGAGUGGGGAAUAACUGAGAGAAAUCUUAGCUAAUACCGCAUAAUACCCACGGGUCAAAGCAGCAAUGCGCUUGGAGAGGAGUUCGCGGCAGAUUAGUUAGUUGGCGGGGUAAUGGCCCACCAAGACGAUGAUCUGUAUCCGGCCUGAGAGGGCGCGACGGAACGACGACCUGGAACGUGAACACGGUCCAGACUCCUACGGGAGGCAGCAGUGGGGAAUUUUGCGCAAUGGGGGAAACCCUGACGCAGCAACGCCGCGUGGAGGAUGAAGCCCCUUGGGGUGUAAACUCCUUUCGAUCGGGAAGAUAAUGACGGUACCGAUAUAAGAAGCCCCGGCUAACUUCGUGCCAGCAGCCGC
rnacentral:rRNA from 1 species